rnacentral:rRNA from 1 species
UGCAUAUCCAUAAGCGGAGGAAAAGAAACCAACAGGGAUUGCCCUAGUAACGGCGAGUGAAGCGGCAACAGCUCAAAUUUGAAAUCUGGCCCUCGGGUCCGAGUUGUAAUUUGUAGAGGAUGCUUUUGGUGCGGUGCCUUCCGAGUUCCCUGGAACGGGACGCCAUAGAGGGUGAGAGCCCCGUCUGGUUGGACGCCAAUCCUCUGUAAAGCUCCUUCGACGAGUCGAGUAGUUUGGGAAUGCUGCUCUAAAUGGGAGGUAUAUGUCUUCUAAAGCUAAAUAUUGGCCAGAGACCGAUAGCGCACAAGUAGAGUGAUCGAAAGAUGAAAAGCACUUUGAAAAGAGAGUUAAAAAGUACGUGAAAUUGUUGAAAGGGAAGCGCUUAUGACCAGACUUGGGCUUGGUAGAUCAACCUGGGUUCUCCCUGGUGCACUCUUCCUCGUUCAGGCCAGCAUCAGUUCGCUGUGGGGGAUAAAGGCUUCGGGAAUGUGGCUCCCUCGGGAGUGUUAUAGCCCGUUGUGUAAUACCCUGCGGUGGACUGAGGUUCGCGUUCUGCAAGGAUGCUGGCGUAAUGGUCAUCAGCGACCCGUCUU